rfam:Picea glauca chloroplast, complete genome.
AGGAGCCGUAUGAGGUGGGAAUCUCAUGUACGGUUUUGAAGCGGAGAUCAUUGAAAUGGAAUGAACGACCGUAAC